CUUCAAGUUAUGUCAAUUUGAUGUGCGAGGAUUUGGGAAGUCCUGUGCUAGCGCGCUAGAUUAUUUAUUUCUUUUAACGAAUAAUGUAAUUACAUUUACCAUGGGUGGACAAAAAUUUGAAUACGAUGAAAGCGGAUCUACUUUCUUUUACUUUGUUUUAUCAUUCCUCGCUCUUAUAUUGGUGCCGGCGACAUUUUAUUAUUGGCCGAGAAAACGGAAAGAAGAUCCUGCAAAACAAGCGGAACUAUGUCAGUGUCCAAAUUGCGUACAGAAACAAAUUAUAAUAGAACAGUCAGAACCAUACAAGAAAGUGAAAAACUUUUUUAUUAUGUUAGCAAUAAUCUCAGGGUGGGUGCUUCUUGGUUUCCUAGCAGUUAAAGUGUCCCAGUUUGAUUAUGAGAUGUCUAAUUUUGACCCGUACGAAAUACUAGGCCUGCCCCCAGGGGCCACACAGGCUGAGAUCAAAAGGUCUUAUCGCAAACAAUCUCUGAUACUUCAUCCUGAUAAAGAAACUGGAGAUGAAAAGGCGUUUAUGAAAUUGACAAAAGCAUAUCAGGCACUUACAGAUGAAGAAGCUAGAAGAAAUUGGGAGAAAUAUGGAAAUCCUGACGGCCCGGGAGCUAUGAGCUUUGGUAUAGCUCUGCCGAGCUGGAUUGUGGAGAAAGAGAACAGUGUGUGGGUGCUAGGACUGUAUGCUCUUGUGUUCAUGGUAGCAUUGCCUACUGCUGUUGGUACUUGGUGGUAUCGCUCAAUAAGGUUUUCAGGUGAACAAGUUUUAUUGGACACAACACAAAUGUACUUUUACUUCUGUCACAAAACACCAUCUAUGCCUUUAAAGAGAGCCCUUAUGAUUCUGGCUGCAUCCUGUGAAUUUGAUAAACGACAUAAUUCUGAGAUUAUUGAAAGAAUAACAGACAAUGAAGAGGUUCCAAUGCUUCUACGUGAGCUUCCAAACUUGGGUGAGAAGAACAAGGAGCAGCCGCUAUGUCGUCCGUACAGUAUAAAGGCCCGCGCUUUACUCCACGCACAUUUGAUGCGCAUGAAACUACCGGAGGACACCCUGGAGGUGGAUAGACGGUACAUCGUGUCGCGUUGCCCCAACCUUAUUGUCGAAAUGGUCAACUGUGUGAACCAGCUCAUCGCACUCGCAUAUGCUAGAAGAAUACCUCGAUUACCAACAAUAGGCACAAUUGAGAACUGUAUGAAAUUGUCUCCGAUGAUCGUUCAAGGUCUUUGGGACUACAAAUCUGCCUUACUACAACUGCCAUAUAUCAACGAGGAUCACUUAAAAUAUUUCACAAACCGCAAGAAGCACAUCAAGUCUUUGCUACAACUGGCCCAGUUGUCUGGUGACGAGAGGAGACAAGUGCUCCGGUUUCUGAAUGAUAAACAGUAUGAUGAUGUCAUGAAAGUGUUGGGCAACAUGCCGUACAUACAUUUCCAAGUGAACACUGAAGUAAUCGAUGAUGAGAACUCGACAGUGGUGACAGCUGGUGCCAUAGUGACUGUGACGGUGCUACUUCGCAGGACUAACAUGAAGGAACUGUUUGGAGAUACAUCCAUUAAAGAGAAAACAUUAAAAGAAGAAGAGGAAGGCGGCGGCGACGUUCCAGAGAAAGGUGAAAACGAGAAGAACAACAAAACGGAUAAAAGCGAAAAGAAGGACGUGUACAAGCGGCCCGUGUGGAUGAAGCAGAAGAAGGGGCCCGCGAAGAAGACUAAGAAGCCCGUUGCUAAGCAACAGGUCAAACCAGCCGCAGCACCCGCCGCCCCUGCAACUCCUGCCGCCACUUCUGACAAACCCAAGGAAAACAAGGAACCAAAGAAAAAGGAUGAGGAAGGCGCCGGUGAGGAGUCCGACGAAGGCAGCUCGGACGAGUCGGGCUCUCACAGCGACGGGUCGGGCGACGAGUCGCGCGACAAGUCGUCCGCGCCCGACGACGAUGACGACCAGUGGGACAAGUUCCAGAAGCGGCUGCAGAAGCGGGAGAGGCUCGAGGGGCGCUCAAAGAGCUCUCACCCUGUGCAUUGUCCAUACUUCCCCUUGGAGAAACAAGAAUAUUGGUGGUGUUACAUCUGCGACCGCAAGUCCAACACGCUGCUGACGGCGCCCGCGCACGUCACCGCGCUCGUCGACUCGCACGAGCUGCAGCUGCGCUUCACGGCGCCGCGCUGGCCCGGCCUCUACACCUUCGCCUGCUGUCUGCGCUCUGGUAACCGUUUGUGUGCUUUGCCACGUCAACACGCUGCUGACGGCGCCCGCGCACGUCACCGCGCUCGUCGACUCGCACGAGCUGCAGCUGCGCUUCACGGCGCCGCGCUGGCCCGGCCUCUACACCUUCGCCUGCUGUCUGCGCUCUGAUUCGUAUAUCGGGAUGGACCAACAGCAGGACAUGAAGAUGGAUGUUAAAGAGGCGGCUGCGGUGCCCGCCGAGCACCCUCAGUGGGACCUCAGCGAUUCCGACACAGAAAACAAUGAAGAGGGAGGCAACGAGAGCGAGUUCACUACAGACGACGAGGUGGAGGAGGAGUGAUGGAAGAUUAAGUUAUUUUUAUAGAGUUUUUAAUGAGAUGUAUCUAAAAGGAAUAAUGUUGUUGUAUGAAUUGAGAGCGGGUGAAUAUAGUAACUUUUAUAUUCAU